GUGGCUGGCCUCCUCUGGCUGCGGUGCUGAGCUGUGUGCCCCAGCCAAAGGCUCCACACAGAGCAAGGCUGGUUCCUGCCGACAGGGCCUGUCCAGGCAUUGGGCUUCCUGUGCGAUGGUUCCAUACAAC
ensembl:scaRNA small Cajal body-specific RNA 14